ensembl:lncRNA
AGUGAUUCAAACGUCACGAGUCACGUGACCAAACCACGCCUCGGCACAGUGGCUCGAUACGUUUGCUUCAUGAGCUACAGCGCAUGUGUGGAAGCCUCGGGUAUCAGAGGACCAUCACUAGUCGCGACGUCUGGUAGCAUCUCUGGCUGCUGUUGAUCUUGUUUUUGGAGUAAAACACGGUGGAAGCUGAAUUAGUGAGGAUGACUCCUGCUCCUGUCAUCUCUAAGCUCCUCACACAUCUUUACCUGCACAUGAGGAAAAUCACUCCUGUAGAAUGCAGUGGUUCAUCAGAACCUCUGGGGAUGUCCUGUGGAUUCUGUGGGUCCUGUGGGUUGCAGGGUGGGUCCUACCUGGACCAGGCUGAUCCUGGACCAUCCCACAGAUGCUCAAUCAGAUCUGGAUGUGGGGAGUGUGGAACCCAGAUGUUCAGAGGGAGAUGAUGCCACAUCUGGUCCAGCUGAUGGAAGGUCUUGAAGUUCUCUGACUGGCCUCUGACUGAAGAUGGUCGUCUCACUGGAUUUAAAGUUCAGAUGCUCAGUAACAAACUCCACCAAUGAGCCAACAGGGAAGCUUUAGGUUUAUUAAAUGUUACUAUGAAGGUUUCGCUGUUUUUCUUUGUGAAUGCAAUGUGCUCCAACUGAAACUUGAAUUAGAACUUAGAAGUAAAUCCUUCCAUCUGAAAGAAUUAGUUGCAUUAAUAACCUCAUAACAUUCUAAUUUUUAUUCCAGUCUUGGUUGGAAAUAGAAUCUCUGUAGUGAUUCAGGUAAAAAACUGAACUUCACAGGCAUGUUGGAGCAAAACAACCAGAUGAAAACUGUGAUGGUGUUGGAUUGUCAGACCGUAAUGUUGCAGCUCAAAGCAGCUUUUCUAUCUCAGUUCAUUCUGACAUUCAGCUAUGAAUCAACACAGCAGAUGGUGAUCCAUGCUGUGGAAGUCUCACAUCUCCUGAUUUAAUGGAGCUGCUUUGCAC